GGGGAUGCACUGGAUUCGACGGGGGUUGCGAAAUCGCUUGGCGCAUGCCGAGGGGGUAGCUUUCCUCGUUAAUCCAGCUGCAAAAACUCAGACGCC
rnacentral:tmRNA from 1 species